GUGGGGAAUAUUGGACAAUGGGCGCAAGCCUGAUCCAGCCAUGCCGCGUGAGUGAUGAAGGCCUUAGGGUUGUAAAGCUCUUUCACCGAUGAAGAUAAUGACGGUAGUCGGAGAAGAAGCCCCGGCUAACUUCGUGCCAGCAGCCGCGGUAAUACGAAGGGGGCUAGCGUUGUUCGGAUUUACUGGGCGUAAAGCGCACGUAGGCGGUUUGUUAAGUCAGGGGUGAAAUCCCGGAGCUCAACUCCGGAACUGCCUUUGAUACUGGCAAGCUAGAGUCCGGAAGAGGUAAGUGGAACUCCUAGUGUAGAGGUGGAAUUCGUAGAUAUUAGGAAGAACACCAGUGGCGAAGGCGGCUCACUGGCUCGAUACUGACGCUGAGGUGCGAAAGCGUGGGGAGCAAACAGGAUUAGAUACCCCAGUAGUCC
rnacentral:rRNA from 1 species